AAAGGGACGGUUAUUGUUAUUUGUGUCUCGCCAGACGCCGUUAACGCUCGAUCCCACAAACUCGGUUUACUGUUUAAACUUCUUUUAUCUUAAGAAUGCAAUGUCUGAUUGAUCGAUCGCGGAUUUAAACGGAGUUUAAAUAAUAAACCGUGUUUGUGAAACCGACUUAUAAAACAGCAUACGAGUAUAAUAAUUUAUAUCAAGGGUGAAGCACCUAGACAAUUUCACAUUCGCGUAAACUUUGUUCGUGCACUUACCGGAAUGCAAAGGCAGCGCCACUGCUCUUGCGGACGACAAUGCAAUUGGCGACUGCCACUUCCCAGCGCAGGCUUUAUGUUCUUGGGCCCAGAUUAAUAUUAUUUACUCACGUCGUCUGCUAUAUCCAAAAUCUCCAUAUGCCGAAUGUGCUAAAAGAAUGAAAAAUCAAGAUACGAAGGUGGAAAACAAACUGCGCUAGCUCCAGAUAAUUGAGACCAACCUAAAUAUAUGCUGAGGCGCUUUGCCACCGCCAAAGGUGCAAAACGAUUGGUCGCUGCUCAACUGUCCCCAAGAAAUUACGCAUUCA